UCGAAACCUCGAUCGAAACGAGCCGACUUGCGCACUUGUCAACCAAAUAGGGGGGACGGAGAGGGGAUGGAGCGUGCCGUGCGAGGGACCCCUCCGCGUCGCCUGCACCCCCCCCCCCCCGAACGUCGUCCUAGCGUGGUCGCGAGGCGGCCCCUUCGCCUCAUGUGCGGGGGACGCUCGUCGAGCGGCGACGAUGGGCGCGGCGGCACAACCAAACCCCGGCGCGAGUCGCGCCAAGGAAAAUGGAUAUACAACCUCCGCGCUCCCCGUCGGCUCAGGCGACGGGGGCCGGCGUUGUUUCGUUUAAUGCGUACAAGAGAU
rnacentral:misc_RNA from 1 species